rnacentral:piRNA from 1 species
UGUAGAAAGACAAUUCAAUGA